AGUGAACGCUGGCGGUAGGCCUAACACAUGCAAGUCGAACGGCAGCACAGUAAGAGCUUGCUCUUACGGGUGGCGAGUGGCGGACGGGUGAGGAAUACAUCGGAAUCUACUUUUUCGUGGGGGAUAACGUAGGGAAACUUACGCUAAUACCGCAUACGACCUACGGGUGAAAGCAGGGGAUCUUCGGACCUUGCGCGAUUGAAUGAGCCGAUGUCGGAUUAGCUAGUUGGCGGGGUAAAGGCCCACCAAGGCGACGAUCCGUAGCUGGUCUGAGAGGAUGAUCAGCCACAGUGGAACUGAGACACGGUCCAGACUCCUACGGGAGGCAGCAGUGGGGAAUAUUGGACAAUGGGCGCAAGCCUGAUCCAGCCAUACCGCGUGGGGGAAGAAGGCCUUCGGGUUGUACAGCCCUUUUGUUGGGAAAGAAAAGCAGCAGGCUAAUACCCCGCUGUUCUGACGGUACCCAAAGAAUAAGCACCGGCUAACUUCGUG
rnacentral:rRNA from 1 species